CCACUUAAGUAUUGAAAAACAAACACUUCUUAUACAGGUUAAUAAAACAAUCGGGCUCAGAUGAACAGAACCAUGUUGGGAGGCUACACUAAAGUAACAUAGGUGAGACUGAGGACUCAUUUCUGACUCUUCAUUUUUCAGCCUACAUAUUUAAUACCCACUGUCCAAAGAGUAUGCAAUACAUUAGGAGACAAAAUAUACACGAAUAUAACAUUUUAGUCACCAUCUGCAAGACAAAAGGCCACUUAGUCAUAUAAAAUCAACCUAAUACUUCAUCAAAUAAGUUUUAAGAAAGUUAUUACAUUUCAAAACAUUUUUCCUCUUUAUUUAAACAUAAAACACAUUUACAGCAUGCAGGUUAACUUAAAACUUAAAAAUUAUAUGGCGUCUUCCCAAACCAAUUAUCUUUGAGUGUAUCUUCAAGCACUGAAAAUAAACCAACAUAUUCCACAGGUAUACUCAGAUUUUUUUCUGUCACCUUAUGUCGAAUUGAAAGUUACGAACAGUAGCUUGCUUAAGUUAGGCAAAUAAUUUAAUUGAUCACCAUGAAUAAAUAUUACUUUUAUUUCAUUGAGUUUCUCUUCUGAACCAUUUAUCAAUACCAUUCAGAGGAACGUUAAUAUUCAGUCAAAAAAAAAAAAAAAGACACCGCAAAUUGAAAUAAGCAUCAAUGUUCUAUCUGAUCAGAAAUUUUCAUUUAUAAGAGUAAAUGCUGUGUUUAAUGACCUACCAUAGCAAAGAGUUCACUGAAAACUAAUUUAUGAAAUUCUUUGUACACUUUGUGAAAGUCUGAAAUUAUAAAUAGAAAAGAACCAUUUCGAUAUUUAAAAAACCCUAACAUUGUGUAUUCUGAACCACAUGCUAGUUACAAUUGUUUGUUACACAGCACCAAUACCCGUGAUACAACUUACAAGAAUGAAACUACCAUAAUGUUCAGAUAAAAGAGAAAAGAAAUUCUGCUUCAUUUAAGAAUACUGCUGAAGAAGCAAGCUUUCUUUUGAAAACAAAAUAUAAAUGUGAAUGCAGCCCAAUGUUUCUCCAUUUAGAAAACUAUCACCAUAAACAGGCUAUAGCACUUUCUUUUUAGUUAACAGUAUUACUUCAAUCUUGCUGCACACCAAGUUUUCAUCUCAAUUUCUGGAGUGUUUCUUCUGACCAAUCCAAAAAGCAACACAAUCAUUUUAAAGGUUGCAGACUACAACAGGAAGGACUUUUGACUGUUAAAAAAAUAAAUAAAUAAAUUUAUCUUUUAAAUCA
rnacentral:lncRNA from 1 species